rnacentral:misc_RNA from 1 species
AACCUUAUGGACCUGCGGGCGUAUACCUGCGGAGGGAUCAUUAACCUUUCAAAUCAGGGUGCGGCGCGGCCCCCGAGGAGCGGAAACAAUCCUUGGGAGGUAUGCGGGGGCUUCGAGCCCCCCAUUUACGCACGCACGACUGCCAUCCUUACUUUACGAGCACCUUCUGUUCUCCCUCGGCGGGGCAACCUGCCGUUGGAACCGAAUAAACUCUUUUUGCAUCUAGCAUUACCUGUUCCG